UGUGUAGGCGGUGCUCCAAGUCUGGUGUGAAAUCUCCCGGCUUAACUGGGAGGGUGCGCCGGAAACUGGAGUGCUAGAGGAUGGGAGAGGUAAGCGGAAUUCCUGGUGUAGCGGUGAAAUGCGUAGGUAUCAGGAGGAACACCUGUGGUGUAGACAGCUUACUGGACCAUUUCUGACGCUGAGACACGAAAGUGGGUGGGUACAAACAA
rnacentral:rRNA from 1 species